GGCCCCGCCUUAUGCGCCUGCCGCUGAGCGGACCUCUGGGACCUAGGGCUUCUGGACGCCGCCUUCGUUCUGGGCACCAUGUGUUCGGAGCACACCACGCGGUAUCAGGGUCACAGCUACAGAGAAGGAAGCAGAUGUUUGGUGAUUAGGGUCAUCCAGUGGGCUCAGGCUGACACCACACCGUGCCCUCCCCACUCAGUCCCCCAGCUUUCCAAAGGUGAGCAGGGCCUUGGUGUGUGAAUGACCCGGAGAGAUGGACUGGAUUCAUUGCCCUGAGCACCAAUGCCAGUGAGUGCCUGGCAGCCAGUAGAGAGAUGGGGAAAGUAAAUGAGGAAUCCUCCCAACCAGACACUCACUCUGUCAGGAAGGUAUUAGAAUCUUUAGAUGAGGACUCUAAAAUUCGGGAAAGUUAAGUCACUUAUCUAAAGACACAUAUCUACCGAAUGGCAGCGUGGGAUCUGAGCCACAUCUGCGCAAUGCGAGGGCGCGUGCUGUGCUAUCUGUAGCCUGCCCCAGAGUGUCAUGGAGAAAAGUGGAACCCUCAGGCAAGAUAGAAUAGGGUUGCAGCGGCCGGGCGCGGGGGCUCACGCCUGUAAUCCCAGCACUUUGGGAGGCCGAGGCAGGCGGAUCACGAAGUCAGGAGGUCGAGACCAUCCUAGCUAACACGGUGAAACCCCUUCUCUACAAAAAAUACACACACACACACACACACACACACACACAGAAGAAGCCGGGUGUGGUGGUGCAUGCCUGUAGUCCCAGCUACUCGGGAGGCUGAGGCAGGAGAAUCGCUUGAACCCAGGAGGCGAAGGUUGCAGUGAGCCGAGAUCGCGCCACUGCACUCCAGCCUGGGUGACCGAGCGAGACUCCGUCUCAAAAAAAAAAAAAAAGAAAAAAGAAUAGGGUUGCAGCUACUCCGGAGGCUGAGGCAUGAGAAUCACAUGAACCUGGGAGGCGAAAGCUGCAGUGAGCUGAGAUCGUGCCACUACACUCUAGCCUGGGCGACAGAGGGAGAGUCUGUCUCAAAAAAAUAAAAAAUAAAAAAGAUAGAAUAGGGUUAGAAGUACAGAGUUGGGAACCAUAUUCUGAGUUUGGAUUCUAGGUCUGCCACUUGCUUGCUGUGUGACCUUGAACAAGUCAUGAAGCUUCUUUGGGCUUCAGUUUACUUACCUGUGAAAUAGGGAUGAACAAUAGUACCUUUCUCAUAUGAUAGUUAUGAGGAUCAAAUAAAAUACAUAAAGCAUCUAAAAUAGUGCAUAGCACAUGGUGACAAUAUAACUAGCUCUGUUAUUACUAUUACAUGUAACAGGAUUCACCUGAAGCUCCAAAGGCCCAGGACAAUACACUCAGCCCUGCAGCUUUACACUUCCAGGGGGCACUAUUCACAUUAUAUUCUCUAUUCUUGUUAUAUUUUGUCUAAAUAAGACCCUGAGAGUUAUGCAGUGUACCAGUUUUGAAUGGAUACCAAGUACCCCCACAUUCCAAGGAGAGAUACAAGACCCAUAUUAUGCAGGACUUGCCAAAGGGAAAUCUGAAAUCUAAUUUUUGUGCCUUUUGCCAAUGCCCACCUUUAAAGUGUGAAAAAUCGGCUGGGCAUGAUGGCUCAUGUCUAUAAUCCCAACACCUUGGGAGGCUGAGGCAAGGGGAUCACUUGAGCCCAGAAGUUCAAGACCAGCCUGGGCAACAUAAUGAGACCCCCAUCUCCAAAAAAAAUUAAAAAAUAGUUGGGCAUGGUGCACACCUGUAGUCUCAGCUACUUGGGAGGCUGAGGUGGGAGGAUCUCUUGAGCCUAGGAGGUGGAGGCUGCAGUGAGCUAUGAUGGUGUCACUGUACUCCAGCCUGGGUGGCAGAGCAAGACCCUGUCUCAAGGAAGAGAUAAAGUAUGAAAAAAUUAAAGAUGCAAAUUAAGAGAAAAGAUUUCUGUGAAAAGAAUGCAUUUCAGGGAAAUACUCUGAGAACUUUUGAUCUGAGAGUUUGGGAAGCGUAAGGACUGCUCUGAGAAGCCGUCCCUAGGAGGACCUGAGGUGGCAGGGCAGAAAAAGAGACAGAGAGAAGGAGAGAGAAGCCUGCUGCAGGAGUUAACUGUGGGGGAAUCGUGUGACAUUUUUUCCCCAAGGGAUAAAUAGAUCUGUGGAGAGUGGACUGGAAGUUUUCUUCAAAGGGAAUGUGCCCAAGAGACUUCCCGGAGGAGCUAAAUGAUUCAGCACACAGACCCCCCAAAGAACGCAGUGGCAUCCUUACCUUCCAAACUGGAGAAGAGAUAUCUCUUGUCUCAUGGGAGUUGCAUGUGGAGGAUGCCAGCAAGGAGAAUCUCCAAGAUACCACAAAAAGUUCCCUCUAAGAGAAACAAUCAGCCUUGAGCAUGUCUAAGCCAGAAAGCACCAGAAUCAGAUCACCAUAAACCCAGCCAGAUAAAGGUGUGUACCCACCCGCCACCCCAUCCCCUAGACUUUAUCCUUCCCAGGAGUCAGAAACAACAGCUAAUGGGAGAGGCGAGUACAGAAAAGAGACUGACCCCAUCCUCCAUCCCACUGCAGGCUUCUGGCGUGGAAUAGGCCAAGCAGGAAGAGGAGGAAGCCAUGAUGUUGGUUGAAGUUGUGAAUUUCAAUCACGAUCCUGGACAUGAUAGUUUACAGAAACGAGGGUAUAAUUAGAUGAAAGUAACCAGACAACUCUUCAUUGUCUCAGAGUGACCAGAAAAGCUCUGGAAGAUGCCAGAGACUUCAUCUAGGUCAGGGAAAGAAAUAACCCAUAGAGAUGAUUUCAAGGUAACAGAUAAUGUUUUCUGUUUGUGCCUUAUCAAGUUCAGCUCACUUAAUAUACUGCUUUAAUAAUUAUAGAUAUUUGUAUGUAUGUGUUGCAGUGCCCUCAGUAAUGCAAAUUGGGAUAUGUGAAUUGGGGUAUGAUUGGCUCCUCUCCUUGGCAGGUAGAAUAACACCAGGCAGAGAAACAGCAGCCAGGCCCUUCACCAAACCAAAAGAUAGAGGAUGGGUGCCUUUCAGUCUGGUAUUUUGCUGGUCUAGUCUCCCCAAGAAUAGGUUGAUUUAAUGGUUGCCUACUAACUGGGAGAUUCCUAGAAACCCUGGCCUGGUCCCAGAAACCAGGACAGACACCACCAGGUGGCACCAAACUGUAGCCAAACUGAGAAGAGAUUGGACUGGACCCUAAAAACUCCCAGCGUAGGCUUUUGUUCAUCUGUCUCCAUUUAUACAAAUGGACGUGCGACAUUUAAGGCGGGUGAUGGAAGUCUUCAACAACUGGAUUGUGGUGCUGGUUGCACAGCUCUGUGAAUCAUUGAAUUGUACAUUAGUGAAUUUUAUGGUAUUUAAAUUAUACCUUAAUAAAGCUGUUUAAAAAAUUAUAAUUAAAAAACA